rnacentral:tRNA from 3 species
GGGCGAUUAGCUCAGUUGGUUAGAGCACACGCUUCACAUGCGUGGGGUCUCAGGUUCAAGUCCUGAAUCGCCCA